UACGAAGGGGGCUAGCGUUGCUCGGAAUCACUGGGCGUAAAGCGCACGUAGGCGGAUUGCUAAGUCAGGGGUGAAAUCCUGGAGCUCAACUCCAGAACUGCCUUUGAUACUGGCGACCUUGAGUCCGGGAGAGGUGAGUGGAACUGCGAGUGUAGAGGUGAAAUUCGUAGAUAUUCGCAAGAACACCAGUGGCGAAGGCGGCUCACUGGCCCGGUACUGACGCUGAGGCACGAAGGUCAGGGGAGCAAACGGG
rnacentral:rRNA from 1 species